rnacentral:rRNA from 1 species
CCUACGGGAGGCAGCAGUGGGGAAUUUUGGACAAUGGGCGCAAGCCUGAUCCAGCAAUGCCGCGUGAGUGAAGAAGGCCUUCGGGUUGUAAAGCUCUUUUGUCAGGGAAGAAACGGUCUACUCUAAUACAGUGGGCUAAUGACGGUACCUGAAGAAUAAGCACCGGCUAACUACGUGCCAGCAGCCGCGGUAAUACGUAGGGUGCAAGCGUUAAUCGGAAUUACUGGGCGUAAAGCGUGCGCAGGCGGUUAUAUAAGUCAGAUGUGAAAUCCCCGGGCUCAACCUGGGAACUGCAUUUGAGACUGUAUGGCUAGAGUGUGUCAGAGGGGGGUAGAAUUCCACGUGUAGCAGUGAAAUGCGUAGAUAUGUGGAGGAAUACCGAUGGCGAAGGCAGCCCCCUGGGAUAACACUGACGCUCAUGCACGAAAGCGUGGGGAGCAAACAGGAUUAGAUACCCUGGUAGUCCACGCCCUAAACGAUGUCUACUAGUUGUCGGGACUUAAUUGUCUUGGUAACGCAGCUAACGCGUGAAGUAGACCGCCUGGGGAGUACGGUCGCAGNUUAAAACUCAAAUGAAUUGACGGNGUGAGACGAGCGACGACGACGACGAGGGAGGAGG